rnacentral:rRNA from 1 species
AUUGAACGCUGGCGGCAGGCCUAACACAUGCAAGUCGAGCGGAUGAAGGGAGCUUGCUCCUGGAUUCAGCGGCGGACGGGUGAGUAAUGCCUAGGAAUCUGCCUGGUAGUGGGGGAUAACGUCCGGAAACGGGCGCUAAUACCGCAUACGUCCUGAGGGAGAAAGUGGGGGAUCUUCGGACCUCACGCUAUCAGAUGAGCCUAGGUCGGAUUAGCUAGUUGGUGGGGUAAAGGCCUAUCAAGGCGACGAUCCGCAACUGGUCUGAGAGGAUGAUCAGUCACACUGGAACUGAGACACGGUCCAGACUCCUACGGGAGGCAGCAGUGGGGAAUAUUGGACAAUGGGCGAAAGCCUGAUCCAGCCAUGCCGCGUGUGUGAAGAAGGUCUUCGGAUUGUAAAGCACUUUAAGUUGGGAGGAAGGGCAGUAAGUUAAUACCUUGCUGUUUUGACGUUACCAACAGAAUAAGCACCGGCUAACUUCGUG